rnacentral:rRNA from 1 species
CGGCCGCGUCGACGAAACACGGAAAGACGGUUUCGGCUGUCACUGCAGGAUGGGCCCGCGGCGCAUUAGCUAGUUGGUGGGGUAAUGGCCUACCAAGGCGACGAUGCGUAGCCGACCUGAGAGGGUGAUCGGCCACACUGGGACUGAGACACGGCCCAGACUCCUACGGGAGGCAGCAGUAGGGAAUCUUCCGCAAUGGACGCAAGUCUGACGGAGCAACGCCGCGUGAGUGACGAAGGUUUUCGGAUCGUAAAACUCUGUUGUGAGGGAAGAACGGGUGUGAGAGUGGAAAGUUCACACUGUGACGGUAGCUUACCAGAAAGGGCGGCUAACUACGUGCCAGCAGCCGCGGUAAUACGUAGGUCCCGAGCGUUGUCCGGAUUUAUUGGGCGUCGACGCGGCCGAGUCGUGGAGGCAAGGCACGACAGGGGGAUAGG